AAGGCUACAUUAUAGCGAGAGUCCGUACCGCUGCAAAUAAAUCCACUGCCGUUCCUGAAGGGAAAUCUCAAAUCUCGCACAAAAAUGGUGCUAGCGCGAAAGCCGAUAAAGCAAACAAAGAUUAAAUUUGCUGGGCGCUGCUAUCUUCUAAAAUAGAAGAUUUGGCAGAUUUUAUUCAGGCGUCCGUGUGUGAAGACCAUAAUAUCGGUAGAAGUGCAGUGCAAGUGUAACCCCCCCUCUUGUUAGGGUGUUGGAAAAGGGAGCUGCCUCCGUUCAGGACCUCGUAUCCGUUUUUAAGAACGGUCAACACACGGCGGCUCGGAAGUCAAGAUGGCUUCCGAGCCUAACAGCAAAGGAUUCGUCCUCGUCCGUCAUCCGACGGAUCCCUCAGGCCUUCGGCCUUAAUUGUAAAGGAGGUUCCCUUCUCGGCACGGUCAUUCCGGUAUCGUCUUGAGCCGUGCCGAUCUCGUCAAGGAAGGAAGACGCCUGUCCGCCGAAACAUCGCCAGCAACGCCCGCUGGAUGCAGCAAUCCACCAUUCCACCAACCCCGAGCAGCCUCGCUGCGAGUUUCUGGCCACACGGUAGUGCAGGAGCAGCCAUGUGGGCCAACGCGAUGAAGAAGAAGCACCGGUAGCUGCAGCAGUGAGUACAGAAAUUCCCCGACAAGUCUCGCUUACACGCCACACAAAUGUUCAAACCCACACCCACACGCCACACAAGGGACAAAUAAAUGUUUAAAAAUGUGAA